rnacentral:rRNA from 1 species
AUUGAACGCUGGCGGCAGGCCUAACACCUGCACGUCGAGCGGUGCGGCGGACGGGUGAGUAAUGCCUAGGACUCUGCCUGGUAGUGGGGGAUAACGUCCGGAAACGGGCGCUAAUACCGCAUACUACCCGCUGAGCAUAGGCCGGAUUAGCUAGUUGGGGGGGUAAAGGCAUACCAAGGCGACGAUCCGUAACUGUUCGGAGAGGAUGAUCAGUCACACUGGAACUGAGACACGGUCCAGACUCCUACGGGAGGCAGCAGUGGGGAAUAUUAGACAAUGGGCGAAAGCCUGAUCCAGCCAUGCCGCGUGUGUGAAGAAGGUCUUCGGAUUGUAAAGCACGUUAAGUUGGGAGGCGUUACUAACAGAAUAAGCACCGGCUAACUUCGUGCCAGCCGCCGCGGUAAUAC